rnacentral:lncRNA from 1 species
CAUCCAUGAGUUACACCCUUCCACAGAAGUAAAAUUUGCCUUGCUGAGGAAAUUAAAUUUAUGUUUGAGUGCUAUUUCUUUUGCAGCACUGAAAAUUUAUUUCUAACAGUAGCCUCUAAUGCAUUUCACAAAUAGAAGGUAAUAUUACCACUAUUGGAUUAGAGUUUUCCCCUCAUUUCCUCCAUUUUCCUUGUUUCUUCCAUUUUCUAUAAGGAUUUUUUAAAAACAGUCUUAAGCAAAGUCUUCAUAAGAUUUGGGAAGUCAGACCUCACAUCACUGGGAUACUGGUCAGAGGACAGCCCUUGGAUGUCUUCUAGAGUCUCCAUUCCCUCCUUCGCAUGAGUCCUUUCUGUGAUUAGGGUAUGGCAGCAACAACCAAGAUGGGGGCUCUGAAAGGAGGGCAAGGGUUCAGGGGAGGAGAGCAUGGCCCCACAUGGAAUGCUGCCCUUGGUCACCCCAGCCCUCUCUCAAUUUCCCUCACAACCCACCAUCAGGAGCCUCAGAGUAGGCCAGCGUUUGAAACAAGUUUUCAGUGCCGCAAAAGAAACAGCACUCAAACAGAAAUUUUUUUCUCAGCAAGGCAAAUUUACUUCUGCAGAAGGGUGCAGCUGGCGCCAGACAUGAUCACAAGAGCACACUGAGUAGGGUGGGGCAGGAGUUUUUAUCCCUAAUGCAGCAGCUUCUGUAGCUGUGUCCUUUCCCCAUUGGCUGGAGUUGGACUGCACAAUCUAAGCUGAGACCUGACUGGCUACUGUUUAAAAUUGAACAGGGCUAACUAGGCAGGAAGGGAGAGGCUGUCCCUUACAAUUUUAGGGUGCAGUAAAGGCAGAAAGGAUAGUUGCAGAGUAGGGAAUAGAUGUGAGUUAUAGAUUAGGACUGAUGGGAAGAUUGUUUACCAUAAUUAGAGGCAAGGGGGCAUAAAGAACGAGGAAGUUACUCUUUGAAAAUAGAGAACAAAGAACAAGGAAGCUGAACAAGCUGACUCUUCUUUGAAGAGGAACCCACCGUACCCAACACCAGAAAGACUAUAACCUUGCUUUGAAGGCUGGGAGUCCAAGAUCCAGGUGUCAGCAGUGUUGGUAUCUCCUGUGGCCACUCUCCUGGGCUUGCAGACGGCGUCUUCUCCCUGUGUCCCCACAUGACCACCCUUCUCCACCUUAGCAUCCCCGGUGUCUCUGUGUGUCCGGAUGUCCUUUUCUCAUGAGGAACCAAAGGCCAGAGACUUCUCAGCAAACACAAGACCAGAGAGAGAAGCAUCCCUGCUGAUGAGAAAGAACAGACACUCCCAGAGGACAAGGUCCACCUGUCAGGCAGCCACAGCCCAGCAUACUCUGGAGUCUGAGGUGGGGGUCAGUUGUGAAGAAAGGGAAGAAGGAAGAAAAAGGAUACGUUGUGCUCCGACCACAGGCCAAGGUCAGAAGACGGUAUUUACCAAGUCUCUUCCCAAAAUACUUGCAAAUGCACAUAAUCUCAAAGUGUUUUUGAGGGCUCUUCCGAUCUAAAAUUGGUCCUAGUGACAAGGGGUGUUUGGGGAAAUCAAAGGGCUGGCUUAACUAUGUAGACCUAGGUCUGGUCUUAUUUCUGGCCCAUACGAUCAUCAUGACCUUGGACAAAUGAAACUUCCUGGGCCUCAAGUUCCUUGUAUCAGAAAGGAUGGCAUUCAGCUGCGUACAACAGAAAACCAAAUCACAGUGGCUUAUCCAAGAAAAGUUCAAUUUUUCUCAAAACUACAGCGUCCUGGGCUGAUGCGGCAGCCCCAGGACGACCUCAGCAUCUCACUCCUCCUUUCUUUACUCGGCCCCAUCCUCAGGCUGUGACUUUCAUCCUCAGGUUUGUCAUCUUUUGGUGGUAAGAUGGUUGCUCUACCUCAAGCUCACAAAAAGAAAUGGGGGAAAGCAGGAAAGAAGAAAAUCUGCUUCCCCAGAGACUCUGAGGCUGCACUUGCACAUCUUAUGGAUCCAAACUGUGUCCCAUGGCUGCCCCUAGAUGCAAGGGGCCUGGGGAAAUGAGCGGAUUCAUCAGGUACACUGCAACCGUACAUGAAAGGAAAGUUCUGUCAAUAAAGAAGAGCGAAAUCUACAUUUGGUCAGGAAACAGCAUUGCCUGCAAUAUGCCUCAUAUGAAAUAAAGCCUUUCUUGCCCCCAUUCUGCUACUCGGUCAUUCUUGCACUCAACAAAUAGAUGUUGAGUGCCCACUCUCUCCAGGCCAUGUUCUAGGUGCUGCGGAUGCAAUCCUGAAUCUAUGAACACGAUUGGCAGAACAAUAAAUAUUGAUUGUCUUGGCCACUCACCAAAUAAAGUGCUCCUGGGAAGGCUGAGAUCUAAUGCAAAGCAGCAGCUUGACUUUCUCACUCCCUGGCAACAAUGCCAAGCAAGAGAAAGCGAUGGGUAAGGCCUGGCUCAAGAGUCUCACUGCAACCUGCACUGUAGAUUCUACCUGCUAAUUUCCUCAGCCUUCUCUGGUUUUGGGCUUCAGAAUGCCCUAACUCUGGGCCCGGCGCGGUGGCUCACGCCUGUAAACCCAUCACUUUGGGAGGCCAAGGCGGGUGGAUCACAAGAUCAAGACCAUCCUGGCCAACAUGGUGAAACCCUGUCUCUACUGAAAAUACAAAAAUUAGCUGGGCAUGGUGGCUUGUGCUUGUAAUCCAGCUACUUGGAAGGCUGAGGCUGGAGGAUCGCUUGAACCCAGAAGGCAGAGGUUGCAGUGAGCUGAGAUCACACCACUGCACUCCAGCCUGGCAACAGAGUGAGACUCUGUCUCAAAAAAAAAAAAAAAAAAAAAAAGAAUGCCCUAAGUCUACUCUGGACCAUGAGCAAGGAUAAUCUGUCUUAGAGGAGAGAAGGUGAGGUUAUGAUUCCAGAGCAUUUGGUGACCCAGGAAGUAGACCUGCCUCCUCCUAUCUGUCCACAGAGCAGUCCUAGGGGCAAUAGGCCAUGAGAAGAUCAUGCCAGGCAGUCCAUUUCUAUAUUACCAUGUAAACAAAAACUCAGCUGUGAACCCUGGAACGUUCGUAUUCUGCAGCUGCCAGUGUAAACUGGUACAGGCCUCUUGAAGAACAGUGGGGAAAGGCACUCUGAAAGCAUCCACGCCUCCAUACCUGCUGAUCCAGGGCUCUGAUUUUCCUUCUGGGAACCAAGCCUAGGAGAAUGAUUCAAGCUGCAGAAAACCUUUCUCCACUAAGAUGUUUGCUGUGGCAUUCAGUAUAAUAGCACACCAGAGAAACAAUCUAAAGAUUCAUCAGUAGGAGAAUAUCUAAGUAAAUUAUGGUACAUACACUCAAUAAAAUGUUAUAUGACUACUAAUUAUGGUGGUUACAAAGACUAUCUCUUUAAGAAAAAUGCUUCUGUGAAUGGUUAAGUGAAAAUUGCAAGAUACGGGCUGGGUGCAGUGGCUCACACCGGGUGCAGAGUCUCACUCUGUUG